rnacentral:rRNA from 1 species
UACAGAGGGUGCGAGCGUUACUCGGAAUUACUGGGCGUAAAGCGUGCGUAGACGGUCAUGUAAGUCGGAUGUGAAAGCCCCGGGCUCAACCUGGGAAUUGCAUUCGAGACUGCAAGGCUUGGGUGCGGAAGAGGGAAGCGGAAUUUCCGGUGUAGCGGUGAAAUGCGUAGAUAUCGGAAGGAACACCAGUGGCGAAAGCGGCUUCCUGGUCCGACACCGACGUUCAGGCACGAAAGCGUGGGGAGCAAACAGG